GUCGAGCUUGCUCACGGGCUUUCUAUCAUAUCCAUAACACCUGUGCACUUGUUGGAUGUCUAGAGACGUAAAGUCGACAGUCAUCCACUUACACUAAACAAUAAUGUAACAAAUGUAGUCUUAUUAUAACAAAAUAAAACUUUCAACAACGGAUCUCUUGGCUCUCGCAUCGAUGAAGAACGCAGCGAAAUGCGAUAAGUAAUGUGAAUUGCAGAAUUCAGUGAAUCAUCGAAUCUUUGAACGCACCUUGCGCUCCUUGGUAUUCCGAGGAGCAUGCCUGUUUGAGUGUCAUGAAAACCCUCAACCUUAGGUUGGUUAUUUGACCUUUCUUUGGCUUGGAUUUGGACGUUUGCCGAUGUCAAGUCGGCUCGUCUUAAAAGUAAUAGCUGGAUCUGUCUCGCGACAUGGUUUGACUUGGCGUAAUAAGUAUUUCGCUAAGGACAUCUUCGGAUGGCCCUGUUGCAGGACUAAAGACCGCUUUCUAAUCCAUUGAUCUUCGGAUUAAUAUUCAUAACAUCUGGCCUCAAAUCAGGUAGGACUACCCGCUGAACUUAAGCAUAUCAAUAAGCGGAGGAAAAGAAACUAACAAGGAUUCCCCUAGUAACGGCGAGUGAAGCGGGAAGAGCUCAAAUUUGAAAUCUGGUAGCCUUCGGUUGCCCGAGUUGUAAUCUAGAGAAGUGUUUUCCGCGUUGGCCCAUGUACAAGUCCCUUGGAACAGGGCGUCAUAGAGGGUGAGAAUCCCGUCCUUGACAUGGACCCCCAAUGCUUUGUGAUACACUUUCAACGAGUCGAGUUGUUUGGGAAUGCAGCUCAAAAUGGGUGGUGAAUUCCAUCUAAAGCUAAAUAUUGGCGAGAGACCGAUAGCGAACAAGUACCGUGA
rnacentral:rRNA from 1 species